rnacentral:rRNA from 1 species
UACGGAGGGGACUAGCGUUGUUCGGAAUUACUGGGCGUAAAGCGCGCGUAGGCGGAUUUGCAAGUCGGGGGUGAAAUCCCGAGGCUCAACCUCGGAACUGCCUUCGAUACUGCAAAUCUCGAGUCCGGAAGAGGUGAGUGGAAUUCCUAGUGUAGAGGUGAAAUUCGUAGAUAUUAGGAAGGACACCAGUGGCGAAGGCGGCUCACUGGUCCGGUACUGACGCUGAGGCGCGAAAGCGUGGGGAGCAAACAGG